UAGUCCACGCCGUAAACGAUGUCUACUAGCCGUUGGGAGACUUGAUUUCUUAGUGGCGCAGCUAACGCACUAAGUAGACCGCCUGGGGAGUACGGCCGCAAGGUUAAAACUCAAAUGAAUUGACGGGGGCCCGCGCAAGCGGUGGAGCAUGUGGUUUAAUUCGACGCAACGCGAAGAACCUUACCCAGACUUGACAUUGAUGGAACCCUGUAGAGAUACGGGGGUGCCCUUCGGGGCCCAGAAAACAGGUGCUGCAUGGCUGUCGUCAGCUCAUGUCGUGAGAUGUUGGGUUAAGUCCCGCAACGAGCGCAACCCUUGCCGUUAGUUGCCAUCAGGUAAUGCUGGGCACUCUAACGGGACUGCCGGUGUCAAACCGGGNGGAAGGUGGGGAUGACGUCAAGUCCUCACGGCCUUUAUGUCUGGGGGCUACACACGUGCUGCAAUGGGCGCAUACAGAGGGGUAGCGAACUAGCAAUAGUAAGCCAAUCUCAGAAAGUGCGUCUC
rnacentral:rRNA from 1 species